AUUGAACGCUGGCGGCAGGCCUAACACAUGCAAGUCGAGCGGAUGAAGGGAGCUUGCUCCUGGAUUCAGCGGCGGACGGGUGAGUAAUGCCUAGGAAUCUGCCUGGUAGUGGGGGAUAACUUCCGGCAACGGGCGCUAAUACCGCAUACGUCCUGAGUGAGAAAGUGGGGGAUCUUCGUACCUCACGCUAUCAGAUGAGCCUAGGUCGGAUUAGCUAGUUGGUGGGGUAAAGGCCUACCAAGGCGACGAUCCGUAACUGGUCUGAGAGGAUGAUCAGUCACACUGGAACUGAGACACGGUCCAGACUCCUACGGGAGGCAGCAGUGGGGAAUAUUGGACAAUGGGCGAAAGCCUGAUCCAGCCAUGCCGCGUGUGUGAAGAAGGUCUUCGGAUUGUAAAGCACUUUAAGUUGGGAGGAAGGGCAGUAAGUGAAUACCUUGCUGUUUUGACGGUACCAACAGAAUAAGCACCGGCUAACUUCGUG
rnacentral:rRNA from 1 species